ensembl:lncRNA
GCGGGGCUUCCCUGCCCUCCUGCUGCUCUCCGACCUGCCUCGCCCCUGGCCGUCCCAGCUCCCCGGGGUGCGCUCCGAUUGGGGCUGUACGAAACAGUUUCAGCACCAAAGACAUGGGAGUGACGAAGAUGCACGAGGCCUGGACCCUGCGGAGCUCACAUUCCGGUGGGAUAGAGACAGAAAACAGGCCCGUACUAUAAUAUCCGGUAACGGAAAGUAGGAAGAAGUAGGAAGGGCUAGAGAGUAACAUGCAGACUUGCUGGUAGGAAGGGCCUCUCUACGGGGUAUCAUUUGAACAAGAUGCCUCAAGGGGAGGAAGAGCCUCGGAUAGCAAGAUCUCGGACCAUGGAUAGAAGAGCGAAUGCAGAGGUCCUAGACCAAGGGCCGACUUAGUGUACUGGGAAAAGAAAGAUCAGUAUGGGUAGAAAAAUGUCACCGAGGAAAUGUCGCAGAAGGUAAAACAGAAAGGUAAGCAGAGGCCAGGUGAGGCAGAGCCGCUUAGCCGGUGGUAAGAAAAUUUCAUUUUAUUCUGAGCGCAGUGGGAAGAUAUUGAAGAACUUGCAUCAGUGUGAUAGAAUGUAAUUUGGGCUUUUGAAGACUGCUGUGGCCGUGCACACGUUCGAAGUUAUUAAGUGGCAUAAGCAACGAGUGCUUAGCGUGGGGAGGCUGCGAAGGGGACUGUUUGAAAUGAGCCUCCGUCUCCGGAUGGAAAGGCAGGAUCUGUGAUGGAAAGAGGAACAUUUCAUCAGUGUCCCCUGGCUGCGGCCUUAGACACCACAUGGCAGCGAUGCGUGCCCUGAAUGCUUGGGGCGCUUUCUACCCACCUGCCUGUAAACCAUGCAAAGUCUGGGGCCCUGUGCGCCUCCACCACGCGGGGCUGCAGAGUCGCCUCCACUCCCCUCUCCUGCUCUACAGUAGGUAUUCCUGGAAGAGCCGUCUCCUGAGGUUGACUUGCUCCACUGAGGGGGAUCUGGGCUCCUCCCGACUGCAGGGAGCCCUACAGCCCCCGGAUACACUGCAGUAGCUCAGUGGCAGAUUGGAGCUUGCCCAGUGCAGAUCGAGCCAGAAUGGAGAGCAGAGAAAUCUCCCUUCCCACCCCUACUCUCCUCGUGGCAAACAAACCACUUGUUCUGGUGACCGGUUGUGGCUCUGCUCACGAAGCAGGGACUAGCUUGUAACUCGUCAUCUUGAAUUUGUGCCCGAUCGUUUUCUGUCUAAUUUUCCUGCUCCCGUAUGCUCACGACCUUAGUUCACACCUGCCACAAAACCAUCAGUACUUAAGUCCCUUCUCCGGUUUUGUUUUCUACAGAAGCCGAGCUAAAGCCAGGGGAUCCAACCUCCAGUGUGAGGUGUGUUAAGGUUGAGGUUUGUGAUAAAUACAAAUAGGGUUUUGGACAUGUAUGUCUAGACUGUGGAGAAGAGGUCCAGGUAGGCCAAGGCUUCUCAUCCUCAGCACUGCUGACAUUUGAACGAGUUACUGCUGGGCUGUGGAGGGCUGUCCUGUGCAUUGGAGGACAUUCAGUAGCAUCCCUGGUCUCACUUCUGGAGAUACCAGCAGCACCAGUGCCCAGUUGUGACAACCAAAAAUUUCUCCAGGCACUGCCCGAUCACCUGCCCAACCACGAGGGUGGAUGUUGUGGUUAGAUCUGACAUGUCCCCCAGAUUCUCUUGUGUGUGGAAGGCCAUUGGACCAUGGGGUGACUUUCUGUUGGGAGGGGGUCUGGCUGGACCAGCCCCUGGGACAUCUCCUCACUUUGCUUCCUGUCUUCCAGGGGAUGAGCAGCUGUCCCUCACCCGAACCCUUCUCUUGGCCCAUUUCUGCCGACUCCACUGAAACCACCAAAAUAAACCUGUCUUCCUUUAAGUUGCAGGUGUGGGUAUUGUGUUUCAGUGACAAAGAAGGUGACUAAGAUUGAAGGAGAGCACUUGAGCACGAAGGUAGAAGGAGAAGAGGAAACAUUCAGAGAUUGUGCUUCAGGAUGGGAGGCCAGGCGGAGAAGGAAGAGCUGGCAACACAGCCAAGAGGGAGCAGCUGGCAAGCUCCCUGGUCAACGCAGACAAAGCACCACAACAUCCUCAAAUCCCCGACAGGGCCUCCUUGUGCUGCACAGUGUGUCUCUCUUCUCGUGUUCCUUCAGCAUCGUUGGUAGGUGCCGAUGGAAGGAGCGAGAAAAGGAAAAUGUGUGCAGUGACUAGAUACACUCGGCCGACUCUCUGACAUCUGAAAGACACUGUAGACUUAAUCCAAGAGCCAGCAGUAACCUUAGGCUGUCCUUGAGUGUGAAGAGUGACUCCUCACGUCUCCAUAAACAGGCCCUGUAUACCACAGUUCUCUCCUGGUACUCUGAGCAAAUGUUUGGAAAAUGCUUAUGCAAAGCUUAUUAAAUGUGCUUGCAAAUCUAGAAUACUGACUUAAAUUGCAGCAAUGCAAUACAAAGCAAAAUAGAUGGAAGUUUUCUGGACAUGAGUUUUGUUAAAACAGGAAACAAAACA